rnacentral:SRP_RNA from 1 species
GGCCAGGCCCUUCGCGACGAAAAACCGUAAACCCCGCCAGGACCGGAAGGUAGCAACGGUAGCGGAUCUUUUCGGGUGCCGUUGGUCUCCUGGCCGGA